CGAACGGGUGAGUAACGCGUGAGAAACCUGCCUUUCAGUGGGGGACAACAGUUGGAAACGACUGCUAAUACCGCAUAAUGUUAUUUAGGGGCAUCCCUGAAUAACCAAAGCUUUAUGUGCUGAAAGAUGGGCUCGCGUCUGAUUAGAUAGUUGGUGGGGGUAACGGCCUACCAAGUCGACGAUCAGUAGCCGGACUGAGAGGUUGAACGGCCACAUUGGGACUGAGAUACGGCCCAGACUCCUACGGGAGGCAGCAGUGGGGAAUAUUGGGCAAUGGGCGAAAGCCUGACCCAGCAACGCCGCGUGAAGGAAGAAGGCCUUCGGGUUGUAAACUUCUUUUAGCAGGGACGAAGGACGUGACGGUACCUGCAGAAAAAGCAACGGCUAACUACGUG
rnacentral:rRNA from 1 species